UUAAGCGACUAAGCGUACACGGUGGAUGCCCUGGCAGUCAGAGGCGAUGAAGGACGUGCUAAUCUGCGAUAAGCGUCGGUAAGGUGAUAUGAACCGUUAUAACCGGCGAUUUCCGAAUGGGGAAACCCAGUGUGAUUCGUCACACUAUCAUUAACUGAAUCCAUAGGUUAAUGAGGCGAACCGGGGGAACUGAAACAUCUAAGUACCCCGAGGAAAAGAAAUCAACCGAGAUUCCCCCAGUAGCGGCGAGCGAACGGGGAGGAGCCCAGAGCCUGAAUCAGUGUGUGUGUUAGUGGAAGCGUCUGGAAAGGCGCGCGAUACAGGGUGACAGCCCCGUACACAAAAAUGCACAUGCUGUGAGCUCGAUGAGUAGGGCGGGACACGUGGUAUCCUGUCUGAAUAUGGGGGGACCAUCCUCCAAGGCUAAAUACUCCUGACUGACCGAUAGUGAACCAGUACCGUGAGGGAAAGGCGAAAAGAACCCGGCGAGGGGAGUGAAAAAGAACCUGAAACCGUGUACGUACAAGCAGUGGGAGCCUCUUUAUGGGGUGACUGCGUACCUUUUGUAUAAUGGGUCAGCGACUUAUAUUCUGUAGCAAGGUUAACCGAAUAGGGGAGCCGAAGGGAAACCGAGUCUUAACUGGGCGUUAAGUUGCAGGGUAUAGACCCGAAACCCGGUGAUCUAGCCAUGGGCAGGUUGAAGGUUGGGUAACACUAACUGGAGGACCGAACCGACUAAUGUUGAAAAAUUAGCGGAUGACUUGUGGCUGGGGGUGAAAGGCCAAUCAAACCGGGAGAUAGCUGGUUCUCCCCGAAAGCUAUUUAGGUAGCGCCUCGUGAAUUCAUCUCCGGGGUAGAGCACUGUUUCGGCAAGGGGGUCAUCCCGACUUACCAACCCGAUGCAAACUGCGAAUACCGGAGAAUGUUAUCACGGGAGACACACGGCGGGUGCUAACGUCCGUCGUGAAGAGGGAAACAACCCAGACCGCCAGCUAAGGUCCCAAAGUCAUGGUUAAGUGGGAAACGAUGUGGGAAGGCCCAGACAGCCAGGAUGUUGGCUUAGAAGCAGCCAUCAUUUAAAGAAAGCGUAAUAGCUCACUGGUCGAGUCGGCCUGCGCGGAAGAUGUAACGGGGCUAAACCAUGCACCGAAGCUGCGGCAGCGACACUAUGUGUUGUUGGGUAGGGGAGCGUUCUGUAAGCCUGCGAAGGUGUACUGUGAGGUAUGCUGGAGGUAUCAGAAGUGCGAAUGCUGACAUAAGUAACGAUAAAGCGGGUGAAAAGCCCGCUCGCCGGAAGACCAAGGGUUCCUGUCCAACGUUAAUCGGGGCAGGGUGAGUCGACCCCUAAGGCGAGGCCGAAAGGCGUAGUCGAUGGGAAACAGGUUAAUAUUCCUGUACUUGGUGUUACUGCGAAGGGGGACGGAGAAGGCUAUGUUGGCCGGGCGACGGUUGUCCCGGUUUAAGCGUGUAGGCUGGUUUUCCAGGCAAAUCCGGAAAAUCAAGGCUGAGGCGUGAUGACGAGGCACUACGGUGCUGAAGCAACAAAUGCCCUGCUUCCAGGAAAAGCCUCUAAGCAUCAGGUAACAUCAAAUCGUACCCCAAACCGACACAGGUGGUCAGGUAGAGAAUACCAAGGCGCUUGAGAGAACUCGGGUGAAGGAACUAGGCAAAAUGGUGCCGUAACUUCGGGAGAAGGCACGCUGAUAUGUAGGUGAAGUCCCUCGCGGAUGGAGCUGAAAUCAGUCGAAGAUACCAGCUGGCUGCAACUGUUUAUUAAAAACACAGCACUGUGCAAACACGAAAGUGGACGUAUACGGUGUGACGCCUGCCCGGUGCCGGAAGGUUAAUUGAUGGGGUUAGCGGUAACGCGAAGCUCUUGAUCGAAGCCCCGGUAAACGGCGGCCGUAACUAUAACGGUCCUAAGGUAGCGAAAUUCCUUGUCGGGUAAGUUCCGACCUGCACGAAUGGCGUAAUGAUGGCCAGGCUGUCUCCACCCGAGACUCAGUGAAAUUGAACUCGCUGUGAAGAUGCAGUGUACCCGCGGCAAGACGGAAAGACCCCGUGAACCUUUACUAUAGCUUGACACUGAACAUUGAGCCUUGAUGUGUAGGAUAGGUGGGAGGCUUUGAAGUGUGGACGCCAGUCUGCAUGGAGCCGACCUUGAAAUACCACCCUUUAAUGUUUGAUGUUCUAACGUUGGCCCCUGAUCGGGGUUGCGGACAGUGUCUGGUGGGUAGUUUGACUGGGGCGGUCUCCUCCUAAAGAGUAACGGAGGAGCACGAAGGUUGGCUAAUCCUGGUCGGACAUCAGGAGGUUAGUGCAAUGGCAUAAGCCAGCUUGACUGCGAGCGUGACGGCGCGAGCAGGUGCGAAAGCAGGUCAUAGUGAUCCGGUGGUUCUGAAUGGAAGGGCCAUCGCUCAACGGAUAAAAGGUACUCCGGGAUAACAGGCUGAUACCGCCCAAGAGUUCAUAUCGACGGCGGUGUUUGGCACCUCGAUGUCGGCUCAUCACAUCCUGGGGCUGAAGUAGGUCCCAAGGGUAUGGCUGUUCGCCAUUUAAAGUGGUACGCGAGCUGGGUUUAGAACGUCGUGAGACAGUUCGGUCCCUAUCUGCCGUGGGCGCUGGAGAACUGAGGGGGGCUGCUCCUAGUACGAGAGGACCGGAGUGGACGCAUCACUGGUGUUCGGGUUGUCAUGCCAAUGGCACUGCCCGGUAGCUAAAUGCGGAAGAGAUAAGUGCUGAAAGCAUCUAAGCACGAAACUUGCCCCGAGAUGAGUUCUCCCUGACCCUUUAAGGGUCCUGAAGGAACGUUGAAGACGACGACGUUGAUAGGCCGGGUGUGUAAGCGCAGCGAUGCGUUGAGCUAACCGGUACUAAUGAACCGUGAGGCUUAACCUU
rnacentral:rRNA from 1 species